ACCCUUCCGGUUGCAGCCUGAGAAAUCAGGCUGAUGGCUGGUGACUUUUCGGUCACCAGCCU
rnacentral:sRNA from 1 species